rnacentral:rRNA from 1 species
GACGAACGCUGGCGGCGUGCCUAAUACAUGCAAGUCGAACGGACCUUGCAAUAACGGAGUGGAGUGCUUGCACAAAGCGAAGAUAUUGCGCUGGUUAGUGGCGAACGGGUGAGUAACACGUAGGUAACCUACCUUUAAGACGAGGACAACUAUUGGAAACGAUAGCUAAUACUGGAUGUGGUGUAGUUGAGGCAUCUCGGCUACAUUAAAGGAGCUUCGGCUUCACUUAGAGAUGGACCUGCGGCGUAUUAGCUAGUAGGUGAGAUAGAAGCCCACUAGGCGAUGAUACGUAGCCGACCUGAGAGGGUGAUCGGCCACACGUGGGACUGGGAUACGGCCCAGACUCCGUACGGGAGCAGCAGUAGGGAAUUUUCCACAAUGGACGAAAGUCUGAUGGAGCAACGCCGCGUGUGCG